rnacentral:lncRNA from 1 species
GUUCAUAUAUGGAAAGGCUGGGUUUUAUAAGUUGGGUUUAUAUAUUUUUCUUUGCUGAAAUCCAUCAUUUCUAGAAAUUGCCUUGUGGAUUGGGAAGUCUCAUGUAUAAUAUUAUAACCCUUAGAAAUAGAGAGAAAUUCCUUUUCUAUUUGCAUUUCUUCCCUUGUUUUAUCAUUCUGCUCAGUACUUCAAGCAUUCCAUUGAAAAGAACUAUGGAUAAUGGACAGGCCUGUCUCAUUCCUGAUUUCAAAUAGGAUUUUUUUUUUUUUUUUAGUUUUUCUCCAAUUAGAAUAAUGUUGGCUAUGGUGUUGUCAUAUAUAGCCUUUAUUAUAUUGAGGUAUAUUUCCUCUAUUCCUACUUCCUAGGAUGUUUACCAUGGGGGUUUUGCCAAAGACAUUUUCUGACUCUGUAGAAACAAAAACAAAUAUACAAAAUUCUACAAAUCUAAGAGCUGGUUCUUUGAGAAGAUAAACAAGAUUGAUAGAUCUAAGUGUUCUUCAACGAAUACAUGAUUAAUGUGAGUUCUUUCUAUCAACUGGAAAAAAAAACUUCUCUAGUUUUUCUUUUUAAACUCUGGAUACUUUAUAAUUAGUUAUCCAAAGCAAUUCACAGUGGUUACAUGCACCUCUGUCAUUUCUCCCCUUUGACAUUCUUGAUAGGCUCCCUUUCACUGCCAUGCCCUCAAUCUGUAUCCCAUAUAUAAAAGAAAACAAAAUACUUGUCAUUAUAAAACAAGUUCUUUUCAUUUAACAUGAUGAUCUCAAGUUCCAUCACCCCUGGCAUUGAUUCCCUGAAUAUCAAAAGAAAACUAUUAAAUUUGUUUAUGGAGGCUGAAGAGAUGGUUCAGAGAUUAAGAGAGACACUGGUCCUCUAGAGGACCUGUCUCUACUCCCAGAAGCCAUGUCAGGUGGUUCACAACUACUUGUAACUCUGGCUCCAGGGAAUAUGACAUCUCCUUCAGUCUUUUGCAGUCACCUACAUUCAUGUCUCUGUGUGUGCACACAAGAUGCACACAUGUACACACACACACACACACACACACCUAGAAAUAAAAUAAGUAUUUAAAUUUAGUUUGUCAUACUGUCCUGGGGUUUCCGUUGAUAUGAACAGACACCAUCACCACAGCAACUCUUAUAAAGGAAAACAUUUAAUUGGGUCUGGCUUAAAAUUUCAGAGGUUUAGUCCAUUAUCAUCAUGACAGAAAGCAUGUCAGCAUAGAAACAGAUUCUGUGCUGGAGAAGGAGCUGAGAGGUCUACAUCUGGAUCUGCAGUCAGCAGGAGACUGUGUGCUACAUUGGUCAUAGCUUGAGUAUAUGAGACCUCAAAAUUCACCCACCAGUGAUAUGAUAUAUUUUCUCUACAAGGUUAUACAUAUUUCAUUAAGACCACACCUCCUAAUAGUGCCACUUCCUAUGGGCCAAAAUUUCAAGUCUAUGCAGACCAUUCCUAUUCAAACUACCACAUUCUACUCCCUGGCCCUUACAGACUUGCUUAAAUGCAUUCAAUUAAACUUCAAAAGUCCUCACAGUCUGUUGCAGUAUCAACCCUGAUUAAAAGUCCAAUGUUCAAAGACUUUUCUGAGACUUAUCCAAUCUCUAAAUUAUAAUCACCUGUAAAAUUGAAAUCAAAAGGCAGAUCACAUGCUUCCAAAACACAAUGGCCCAGGAUACACAUAACUGUUCCAUAGGGAAGAGAAGGAGGAGAGUGAAGAAAUACUGGAUCAAAGCAGGACUGAAAACCAGCUGGGCAAAUUCCAGAUUCUACAUCACCAUGUUGAAUGUCAAAGUGCUCUUCAGAUCUUCAGCUUUUUUCAGUUUUACAGCACAUCUCUUGCUAUUGGGUUAGUUCUACCCCCUUUGAGUAGUGUUGCUCAGCAGGUAUCCCAUGGAUCUGCCUUCUCUAACAUUUCCUUUCAUCUAAAGCCAGAACCACAUAACUGAACCUGCCAAGUUCUACUGCUUGCUGGGACUAGAACAUGACCCCCUCAUUCAAUUGCAUCUUCCCCAACAUUCUGUUUUCCAUAGUUUUCUUCAUUAACAGAGCAAGUCCCAAGACAGCCUAAGCUUAAAGGUGUUCACUGCCACACCUGGCUCUGAGUUUUUCUUUAAUUCCGUUUUACAAGUGGGAAGCUUAACAGGGUGGGAUCUUAACCUGACUGAGGUCACCACUCCUUUAUUCCAUUUAACAUCUGGCCUUUCUCUAAUCUGUUUAUCUCCUUGAACACAGGAUUUACUUCCAUUCCACUUUCUGGUACCCCUUCUCUCCUUGAACUGUACAUUUUGUAUAUUUUUCCUUGCUCAGAAAAAAAGUCUCAAAAAUUAUUAUAUAUCUGCUUAUACCUUUCCCCUCUUUGAAAGGGAACCUUGAUCAUAUUAAGAAGCUAAAAAUGCCAAAUACCUAUUUUCCCAACCCCUAUUGUACACAGAGAAUGAAUACCUGACCCAACUGUUAACCAUGACAUUUGCUUGUAUCUGCGGCUGUUACCUUGUGAUAAUGAGACAAAAACCAAAGAAAUCCCAGAAAAGUAGAUUCACAGCUGUGACCUUGUACUGUUGGUUGACUUAACUCUAAAGUCACAGAGCUGUGGUGUUAUUGCUGUAUGAAAGUUUGAGCUUUCUAUUGAGUACUUUGAUUUGAGGGUUCCUUUAUUUAAUAUAUUUGUUCUGUGUCAUUUAUAAUCACUUGUGUGAGAAUAGUCUCAUUUUCAUUUCACAUAUGGAAAGAAGAGGAAACUUAAGUACCUUGGAGGUGUAACAAAAAUUCCUAUUUUUCCCAUCUGACUCCACACUCUAGGCUAGACUGCUUUCAUAAUAUAAGUAAUUCUUGCCACUGUUGUUCUCCUCACUGUCCUGUGUGGGCUCUUCUUUACCCAUUGAUAUCUCCAUACAUUACUGCCAUAGAACUGAAUUACCCACAAAUAAGUCUUGUCAUGGUAAAAGUGAAGGUCAGAUACCAUUAGCUAGAAAAAUGAAUUUAUACAAU